UACGGGGGGAGCAAGCGUUGUUCGGAUUUACUGGGCGUAAAGGGCGCGUAGGCGGUAGCACAAGUCAGUUGUGAAAUCUCCGGGCUUAGCUCGGAAAGGUCAACUGAUACUGUGCGACUAGAGUGCAGAAGGGGCAACUGGAAUUCUCGGUGUAGCGGUGAAAUGCGCAGAUAUCGGGAAGAACACCCGUGGCUAAGGCGGCUCUCGUAGUACGGUACUGACGCUGAGACGCGAAAGCGUCGGGGAGCGAACAGGA
rnacentral:rRNA from 1 species